AGGACUGAUGUCGAUGCCCAUACUGUGUUAAGAAUUGUUUACCUUUGCAAUAUUGCAUUAAGAGGCGACCGAAAAUAAUUAUGGCAGAUGCGCCGUUGUCAAAAUCAACGGAUCAUCUCGGAGCCAGAACUGAACAUGUUAAUUACAUAACUGAAAUUCAGCAGAUGAUGCAUGGCUUUGGUGAUUGUUCUGAGCCGUUGGUGGAAUCUGCAAGAAUAAUAGAAGAUAUGGUCUUGCGUCAAAUGAGGUCCAUUGUCCAAGAAGCAUGCAAGAUUGCAGAUAGAAGAGGGAGUUCCAUGGUUGACAUCGAAGAUUUCAUAUUUCUUCUACGUAGAGAUAAAGUUAAAAUGCAUCGCCUUUUAAAAUACCUUGAUUUAAAAGAACUUAAAUCAUCAAUGUACAAAGUCGCAAAUUCUGACAUGUCAGUAGUCUUGCCCGACGUUAAGCAUAUUGAUGAGCUCAAUAGGACUAAACGACCCUGGGAAAUUUACUUGGAAGGCUUAGACAUAACGGGUGAAUUGUGCGACGAUAAACUUGAAGUGGAUCAUGUUAAACACAGUAGACGUGUCCGCGCAGAAGUAGUUUCAAAAAAUUUGGAUGAAGCACAAUACAUUCAAUAUUCUAAGGCACGUAACGUCUCGUUCGUCAACAGGCAUCGUCACAAAUUUAGUGAUUGGGUGGUUCCCGACGGGGACGUAAUCGUAUCUAAACAGGGGUACGUAAUUCUAAGUUAUCUUGCAUAUGAGACUGUUGCACAAAUCAUCGACUUAGCCUUUUUAAUACGGGAAAAUCAAAAUAAAAUAUAUAGUGAUGCUGUAGACAGAAUGAAUCUUAAUCACUGCAACCCGCAUACGUUUAAGCCGUAUCAUCAUUUAAAGGUCGAAUUUUCGCCUUGCAUUGAAGCAAAUGUUAAUUCUACGAGGGCAGAUUGAAACGUUUUUACCUGAUAAAGAAAGAGAAAAGGUAGCAUAAUUUGUGUGUACUUCCGUAUAUGGCUGUUUCAUGUUGUCAACAAUGGAUAAUGUUAUAACUGUUAUAUUUCAUGUAACACUGGAAGUUUUAGCUUAAGCACCAUUUACGCCAUAAUUGAAUAUCGAUCAAAAAAUGCACCUUUAUUGAAUAUGUAUAUGACUCUAAGGCUUAUCUCUUGUGGAAACCUGAAAAUAAAGAAAAUCUUAAUAAGCUUAGAUGUUGCCACCAUCGAGAAGUUUGGAGAACCUUGGAUACUGGAAGAAGAAUUUUUCGAUUUCAUAGAUCAUUUUGAAAAUAAGGCCAAAAACAUUGAGUAGUUUGUUGAGUCAAAAAUCCCAGUUGUAUAGCAAAAACAAGUGGAAGCUAAAGUUGAAUUAUUGAUAGAAUGGAAAACCCAAAAAAGGAUUACAAAAUUCUUUUAGUAGUAGAGUAACACUACCUGCAGCUUAUUUCGAUGACGAAACAAAUCUCACCAUCAGAAAUCAAUGAAGCACUUAGACGUUAUUUGUCACCACAACUAGAAGUGACUGGACCUUUUCGUCGUUGGUCUCU